GAUGAAGAACGUAGCGAAAUGCGAUAAGUAAUGUGAAUUGCAGAAUUCAGUGAAUCAUCGAAUCUUUGAACGCACAUUGCGCCCCCUGGUAUUCCGGGGGGCAUGCCUGUCCGAGCGUCAUUACAACCCUCAAGCUCAGCUUGGUGUUGGGCCCCGCCGCCCCGGCGGGCCCUAAAGUCAGUGGCGGUGCCGUCCGGCUCCGAGCGUAGUAAUUCUUCUCGCUCUGGAGGUCCGGUCGUGUGCUCGCCAGCAACCCCCAAUUUUUUUCAGGUUGACCUCGGAUUAGGUAGGGAUACCCGCUGAACUUAAGCAUAUCAAUAAGCGGAGGA
rnacentral:misc_RNA from 1 species